rnacentral:rRNA from 1 species
GGUUAAGUGAAUAAGGGCGCACGGUGGAUGCCUUGGCACUAGGAGCCGAUGAAGGACGGGACUAACACCGAUAUGCUUUGGGGAGCUGUAAGUAAGCUAUGAUCCAGAGAUUUCCGAAUGGGGGAACCCAAUAUCUUUUAUAGGAUAUUACUUUUCAGUGAAUACAUAGCUGAUUAGAGGUAGACGCAGAGAACUGAAACAUCUUAGUACCUGCAGGAAGAGAAAGAAAAUUCGAUUCCCUGAGUAGCGGCGAGCGAAACGGGAAGAGCCCAAACCAACAAGCUUGCUUGUUGGGGUUGUAGGACUCCGAUAUGGUAGUCUGUUAGUAUAGUUGAAGGAUUUGGAAAAUUCCGCUAAAGAGGGUGAAAGCCCCGUAGACGAAAUGCUGACAACACCUAGGAGGAUCCUGAGUACGGCGGAACACGAGAAAUUCCGUCGGAAUCCGCGGGGACCAUCCCGCAAGGCUAAAUACUCCCUAGUGACCGAUAGUGAACCAGUACCGUGAGGGAAAGGUGAAAAGCACCCCGGAAGGGGAGUGAAAUAGAUCCUGAAACCGUGUGCCUACAACAAGUCAAAGCUCGUUAAUGAGUGAUGGCGUGCCUUUUGUAGAAUGAACCGGCGAGUUACGAUUGCAUGCGAGGUUAAGUCGAAGAGACGGAGCCGCAGCGAAAGCGAGUCUGAAUAGGGCGAAUGAGUAUGUAGUCGUAGACCCGAAACCAUGUGAUCUACCCAUGUCCAGGUUGAAGGUGCGGUAAAACGCACUGGAGGACCGAACCCACGUACGUUGAAAAGUGCGGGGAUGAGGUGUGGGUAGCGGAGAAAUUCCAAACGAACUUGGAGAUAGCUGGUUCUCUCCGAAAUAGCUUUAGGGCUAGCCUCGGAAUUGAGAAUGAUGGAGGUAGAGCACUGUUUGGACUAGGGGCCCAUCUCGGGUUACCGAAUUCAGAUAAACUCCGAAUGCCAUUCAUUUAUAUCCGGGAGUCAGACUGCGAGUGAUAAGAUCCGUAGUCGAAAGGGAAACAGCCCAGACCACCAGCUAAGGUCCCAAAAUAUAUGUUAAGUGGAAAAGGAUGUGGGGUUGCACAGACAACUAGGAUGUUGGCUUAGAAGCAGCCACCAUUUAAAG